AUUGAACGCUGGCGGCAGGCCUAACACAUGCAAGUCGAGCGGAUGAAGGGAGCUUGCUCCUGGAUUCAGCGGCGGACGGGUGAGUAAUGCCUAGGAAUCUGCCUGGUAGUGGGGGAUAACGUCCGGAAACGGGCGCUAAUACCGCAUACGUCCUGAGGGAGAAAGUGGGGGAUCUUCGGACCUCACGCUAUCAGAUGAGCCUAGGUCGGAUUAGCUAGUUGGUGGGGUAAAGGCCUACCAAGGCGAGGAUUCGUAACUGGUCUGAGAGGAUGAUCAGUCACACUGGAACUGAGACACGGUCCAGACUCCUACGGGAGGCAGCAGUGGGGAAUAUUGGACAAUGGGCGAAAGCCUGAUCCAGCCAUGCCGCGUGUGUGAAGAAGGUCUUCGGAUUGUAAAGCACUUUAAGUUGGGAGGAAGGGCAGUAAGUUAAUACCUUGCUGUUUUGACGUUACCAACAGAAUAAGCACCGGCUAACUUCGUG
rnacentral:rRNA from 1 species